AGGUGAAGGACAGGUGAGAACAGGUGAGAACAGGUGAGAACACAACACAACACAUCUUCAUACAGGUAACGUGUUCCCACUCCUCCAGCGCGAUCCUGCACAGGUGAGGACAGGUGAGAACAGGUGAGAACAGGUGAGAACAGGUGAGAACAGGUGAGAACAGGUGGGAACAGGUGGGAACAGGUGAGAACAGGGGGGAACAGGUGAGAACAGGGGGGAACAGGUGGGAACAGGUGAGAACAGGUGAGGACAGGUGAGGACAGGUGGGAACAGGUGAGGACAGGUGAGAACAGGUGAACACACAACACAACACAUCUUCAUACAGGUAACGUGUUCCC